rnacentral:rRNA from 1 species
UACGUAGGGGGCGAGCGUUGUCCGAAUUCACUGGGCGUAAAGCGCGCGUAGGCGGGCUCUUAAGUUGGUGGUGAAAUUCCGAGGCUCAACCUCGGAACUGCCUUCAAAACUGGGAGCCUUGAGGUAUGGAGAGGGAAGUGGAAUUCCUGGUGUAGCGGUGAAAUGCGUAGAUAUCAGGAGGAACACCCGUGGCGAAGGCGGCUUCCUGGCCAUAUCCUGACGCUGAGGUGCGAAAGCCAGGGGAGCGAACGGG